UAAAAAAUAAUAUAUAUCUUUCCCUAUUAAAAUAAAAUUAAAAUUGACUCCAUAACAGAUGUUAACUUAAGAAUUUGACUUUGUCAAUUUUAUAUUUUAUAUAGAUAUUCAAACAACUUAAAGUGUCUAUGAAUUGGUUUUCCUCAACUUUAUCUCUUAUUAUGAUCAUUUUUAUAUUUCUUUUAAACAUUUGACUGAAGCAUAAAAAUAAAGGAAAUGUAUAUUGUUUUUUUCACUGUUGUAUUUCUCUCACAGUGCGCAGCUCAUACAUAUAUCUUUUGCAGAACCCAUCAAACCAUCACUUCGCUCGAACAUUUCAUCUGAUUUCAUAUUGCAUACUUUUGUGUUUGGAGAAGACAAACUCUAUAAACGUCUAUAUAUUUGACAUGGAUGGUCAAAGGAAAAAAGAAUAUCAAAGGCAACGAUAUGCUAAAAUGUCUGUUGAAGAAAAA